UCAAAAAAGAAAAAGGAAAAAAACAAACAAAAAAAACCCAGAUGGGCUUGGGGUCUAAUAAACAGGAAAAAAAUAAAAUGUUAAUUUUGUUACGUCUAAGAUAAUUGUCUUUAGUAAACAUUUACUAUCUUGCAAUUGACCUCCAUAAAGGCAAAUCAACCCAUUCAAUUAUCUAAAUGUAUUUUGCAGCUUAUCCACUUUGGCUGGCACAUUUGUAAAGCCCUGCGGUGGAGAAUCAACUGUUCUGGGUAAGCUUUUCAUCCAGAUGCCAGUUGUGUGGCUGGAGACAGAUUAGAUUCCAUGGAGACAAGCUGGAAGAGGGGAUGUAUGCUAGAGAUAGUGGGCAGUCCACAGCUUAAAGAAAAAGCUACCAGUGUUCAGUAUUGGAGAGUGCACAUAUAAAUGUCACAUCUGAGGACUAUUCAACAGAGUUAAACAGUGUGGAGGACCAAAGAUAGAGACCACGGGAAUAAGGUUGGACAGAGUGGUCUUGUGCAAGCCUUGGACACUGUUUUGCUUUUGUGGGACAGCUAGUAGGUACAAGAUAGAGCUGGCAUAAAAGGACAGGAAGGGCUUCCAGAACAGUUCCUGAUUUUGUUUUUUAUGUUUUCAGGUUUAGGUGCUGAUAAUACUGAAUCUGAAAAGUUUUAGAUUCUUGCUAAGCUUUAUCAUAUGGAAAUUCAGGGUCUCAGGAAAACACUUGAACAAGUGUUGACCUGAUCCAAAGUUCCUUUCUGUGAAGUAUCUUAGCUCAUCUUGCCUGGUGCCCAAUGCCACAUGGAAAUGGAGUAGCUGUUAAUUAAGACAUUCAGAAAUCUGGAACUCGAAGCCCUUAAAACCCUUCACCUGAUGAUAUCCUCUCUGGAGAAACAAAUGAUAUUACUGCAGUAAAGCACAUCAUAUGAAGAUUUUUGACCUUUCUCAGAAAAUAAUUUUCACAUGUGCCAACAAGUGCAAUAUGCUCAUGACAAAUCUCUUCAAAGCUGUGUUUACUUGGUAUUUAAUAUUGCUUCUAGAUAACAAAAGGAACUGCCCAUUAAACCUGCUAAACUGCCAAUCAUGUUUGUCCCAAGAACAACUUGAAAAGUAAAAUCACAUACCCCACCCCCACUCUGAGAUAAUCAGUGGUAAGCAAAACCCUGUGUCCAUGCCUGCUCUUCCUAAAAAUAAAAAAAGGAAGGGGCCUGGAACUGAGAUAUAUUAAAAGAAAUAACUCAUAAAAAAA